GCACGUUCUAUUGAAAUAGGAUUAAGGAUUUAAAAAAGAAAACUGAAAAGAAAACUGAAACGGUCGAAAACCCACCACGACCCUCAAACUUGGAACACUUUUCCUCACUCACCCAUGUUUUGCAGAGCAAGAAUCCUCAUCUACUCACUGCAUAAUAGUAAGGGGGCAAACGGAUUCAGCAUCACCAAUUGUAGAAAGUGGACGAGGAUUAACUCUUCCACUGAUCGAUUAUACUAAUUCAGUUCUGUAUUUCGUACAAAAAGUGAGGAAGAUUGAAGGAAAAAGAACUUCAGCAAUCAAUAUAGGGAGCAAGAAUCCUCAUCUACUCACUGCAUAAAAAGGGAGGAAGAUUGAAGGAAAAAGAACUGGAGCAAUCAAUAUUGGAACCCCCAGUCUGCUCAUCAAUCUGGUAGUUCAU